GUUACGUCUGUAUAGAAAAAAUUCCAUGUAUUGUACGAAAGUUUUUAAUUAAUAUCUCGGAAACUAAUAGGAAGCUUAAGAUACCACUUUAUAUUUGGGGUCCCCUCCUCCCUCCCCCUGCCCCUCAAAAUUUCAUCAAGAUCGGCGACCGGUCGUAUUCGGAACUACAUCCAAUUCGUCUAAUGAACGAAGUUAAUGCCUAUAAAGAGAUGGGCGUUCACUUUUUGCGGAAUAACUGAAAUAUCUUUAUUUACAUGUGCUUUGUACGUAUUUGAUUUUUUUAACCUAACAGUAAGUUAAAGUACCGUUUAGACUAGACAAAUGUCUUGAAAAGGGAGAAGGACGAGUAUACCAAUAGUCUACCAGAAAGGCUUUUUUCUCGUUCUCGCCUUUGGGUCUGGGCCUAUUCCUUCUUCCAAGUUACUUACCUAAUCUGAACGAUAUUUAAGUAGCCUCUAGGGUUGCUAGAAAUAAUAGCCAUGUGACAUCAUAUAGAGCUAUACAGGGUGGAUCUCAUAACUUGCUCACCUUAAAUAAAUUAUGCGUUUUAUGAAUAAUUGUAAAAUACAAAAGUUGCAUGGAUUAAGAUAAGUCGACCGGAGUCAUCAGAGAUCUAGUUUGACUGCAAUGCUCAUAAAUAGAAGAGUUCUUAUCUUACGUUCAACUUAAAAUAUCUCGUUGAGGAUUAGGUUUAGGACCAAGAUAGGCUUAUAAUUGUUUACUUGCAAUUUAAUAUUCUUUCGAUAUGAGAUGAAAGAAAUGUAUAAUCCCAUUUAAAAAAAAGAAAGUUGACCUUGAAAGUUUGGAAAUCUCUCCACGUACAAGACAAAUUCAUACACCAUCAUUUGCCCUCCUUGCAAUCAUGCAACAUUUGUAUUUCAUAAUUUUUUAUAAAAUACAUAAUUUAGAAAUUAUUUAAAAUGUGCAAAUUAUGUGACUCACCUUGUGUAUACUAACACGAAUUGCGCACACCAUACGAGGAUUAGUAGAGUGGCGUAGUAGUAAGUAGUGGAGGGGGAAUAGGGUACGGAACAGCCUGAAGCCGCCUGAAGGCACCAGUUUAUUCAAUGCAUUCGUGGUGUUUGGUUGCAUUUCUGAGUUUGUGUUCUUUUUCGUUUUAUUUUUUUGAAUUGUUUUUAUCUCGUCUUUUUCACUACUUUUUUUUACUUUUAUAUUUCUUUGUUCGUAACAAUGCAAUCCAUAAAGUGGAAUUUAUCAAAUCUGCCAAAUUCAAAGGAAGCCGCAAUUGUUUGGGCUCGUGAACGUAGUCUUCUACGACAGAAUAAAAAUUGUUCUACUCAUCGAAAACCGAUGAAAUUAUAUCAAACACCCCAGCACGGGAUUGGUCGAUUUCGGUGUUUGGUUGGUCGCGGUAGAUGCAAAGAUUUUGCUGCAACUGUUGAUUCUUUUUUUGAGGAUAUACAUUUGCCGUUAGAUAAAGCAAUAAAGUUAAUAUAUUGCUUCACACGCGAUUUCUCUUAUGAGAAUACCGCUCAUGAGUUAUGCGAUUUUACAUCAGAACAGCCUGUAGUAAUAUCAUCCGCAACGAUCGCUGCGUGGUAUCCGUACUGCCGCGAGCUGAUAAUAGAUCAAUUUUCCCAAAUUCAAUUGGGGAAGUCGAAAUUAGGAGGAAUUUCUGAAUCGGGAUCGCCGAUUGUUGUUCAGAUUGACGAAGCACAAUUCGGUCCAAGAAAAUAUAAUCGUAGCAAAAACGUUGAGGGCCAUUGGGUAUUGGGCAUACUUGAUACCGUAACGAACGAUUGCCGGAUGAUAAUACUAAAAAAUUGGGAAGCAUUGAUACCCUUAAUUAAAGAACAUGUUGCUUCCGGGAGUGAAAUACACACCAACUGUUUGGGAGAAUAUGCCAGGCUUAGCGAGGAAGGGUUUGUGCAUAAAACUGUGAACCACAGUACCGAAUUUGUAGUGAUGGUACACGUAUCCGAAGAAGAGAGUCCACUUGGCGGCCGGCAAAGGACUGGAUGAGAGGGAGAGGUUCCUUUUUUGAUAAAGACUUUGCCGACCGUCUAUGCGAGUUCUUAUGGCGUCGGUUUUGUCGGCGUAAUCGAAUAGAUAUGAUGGAAUCUUUAAUGGAGGCAAUUAGAAAUCGGUACAUAUUUAAAUAAGGUAAGCGGAAAUUGAUAGCAUUUUGGUGCUCAUCUUUGCAGACCAAUCAGAUUAUAGACAGAAAUCAAUAUGGCGUCAAACUAACCUUAAAAGUACGCCUAAAACGUUCAGUUUUACAUGCACAUAAUCUUUGAAUGGAUUUUUAAAGUUAAAAAGAAUCAUAUUUUUGACUUUUUCUCAGAGUAUAUAUAUAAAAAGUUAAUAAUUUUGUGUCUUCCAAAGUAAAAUUCAAUCGACAAAAUUACUCAGUUAUCCGUGAGCAGAGCCGUCAUAAAAGCAUUAUAGACCUUGGGCAAAACAAUCCACUGGGAUCCCUGUCCAUCUACGGGAAUAAAAAUCACAAAUGUUUGCGAAAUUUCAUUGCAUGUGAUCCUGAAUUUGUUUAUUUGGCUCUAAUCACAGGGUCCCCGGCGAAUGCUCAUACCUUGUGACGGCACUGCCGAUCUUUUGACCAUUGUGUGUAAAAGUCGGUAAUAAAAAAAAUGACUGUUUCAUGCGUUAGGAUAUCUCGCAGUACUCAAGCAUCUGGAUGAUUUUGUCUACCAGUUGGCACUUCUAUUUUAUAGAUUAUACUUCUCCAUUACAUGCCCAUUCCCCUCACACAGAUAAUAGUUCACCUACUUCGGGCCCAGAAGGACAGAUAGAAUGAGGGAACCAGUCAAGAGGUUAGAGUCAGAUUUAGACAGCGCUACAUUUAAGCCUAGUAUACACUUGGACACAAUGUUUUAGGAUGACGUAUCGAAAUCAUUUCGGAAAUUUUAUAAUCAGAAUAGUAUAGAAAGACAGACAUCUGCAGAGAGGAGAAGACGAUUAGGGGGACACCACUAUGGCUGAAGGUUGACUUCAUAGUAUGUUGGUGCCUGGCAUAACAGAUACAAAGCAAAGUUGUAUUAAAUUUCAUGUAUGUAUUUUCAAAUUUGAAAGGUUUUACGACUUCUUCAGGAUUGUCGCUUUUCUGGUAUAGAUAAAUCUUCCCAAAUUGCUUUGAACGUGCUAGACAUACAAAUUAGCAUAACUGUAGGUUUCUUCUAGGAAUAUUUACGGUCAAUGAAAUAAUAAACAGUGCAAAUGACUACAGAAAUGUCUCCUGCCUUCAAGUUUCAAAAUAUUGUAUCCAAGUGUUUCCUAGACUUUAGUUGACGAAACUAUACGAAAAGAGUGGACCAGUUCACUCUGAAUAGCGAUUAGAAUUGAAUAUCAUCGACACGAAAGAAACUACAGAUAAUAUAAAGACUUAAGAAAAAUGUACAAAAUUGCGAACAAUAUUUUCAAACGAAAAUGCGAUGGUUAAAGGAGCGAAACUUUUGAAUAAAGGGUCGAAGAUACACGUUUUUGUCAUAUCGUUCUCAUGAAAUUACCGAGGCAACCGUUCUUUGAUGUACAUUGAAAUAAAAAAGAAAAAAUGAAGGAAAGUGUAAUCUGUAAAAUUAAAUCUACGCCUGGAAUACUGUCGCGAAAGUGUUCGAACAAUCAUAACCUAGAACUUUAAUGAGUUCCAUAUGUAAAUACAAAUAGAGAAUUUUGAAACAUUAUUACAAUUAUAGUACUGUGACGAUUAUUAAAAUCGUACUAGAAAAAUUUAAGAAAAAAUUGAGGGUGUACAAAAUUCAUCUUCGAGUAAAAAUUUUAAUUUAAAAUCAAUUUAAUUAUAUAAUUAUAUUUUUUAAGGAUGUAAUUGUGAGUAAGAUGUAAAAUUUUUAUUUUUGAACACAUUAUAAGAAAUUUUAAAUUGAUUUAUCAGUUGUAUCAAUUAAUUCAGUGCUGUUUUUUUAUUUUAAUUGGAAAUUUAUUUUCAAAAAGUCAUGGUAGCUUCAGUUAUUCAAAUAAUUAUUAUCAUAUUCUCACGCCACUUUUCAAAUUCACAGAAGUGCGAGAAAAUAUUCAGUUCUUUUUGGUCAAUAGAAAAUGUCUCUUAAAAGAAUUUUUAGAAAUAUUGUGUGUCCGUCAUGUUUUUUGUCUUUUUUUUUUUUGUAGAAAAAACUCAUUAUACUUCAUACACUUUCGCGACGCACGGUGCAGGAGCGUGUGUUAACUUGUACCCACUGUCUUUGUAAAGUUUGUGAUCACUCAUCACCCUGAAUGUUAGGCAACCGAUUGUACAGUACGCACACGCAUCCGCUACAAUCAUUUGAGAAACACGUAGGAUCACAAUGUACAUAAAACGUAUGUAACUGAUAAGGAUAUUUUUUGUACGUAGUUAAAUUUCAAAGAAACUGCUCUUUGUCGUAUAUAUACAGGGUGUUCACGCUAACGUUAGAGACUAUUUUUCAAUUAUUGCAACAUUGUAAUAAAAAAAGUUAUCAUCUAAAAGUUAUCUGUAUUGAGUAGACAAUCGUUGUUCUUAAUAAAUCCAAAAUCAUCUUUGGUUUUUUUUUCUAUCAUAAAUGGCAUGUAUUGAAUGAAAAUGGAUAAGUAUUACCAUUUUGUAACUUAAUAGUAGCCGAUGAUUAAACGGAGCAAUUAAACAUAAUAGUUAUGAGUUAUACAUUAAAAUUGAUUACAUAAUUGUCAUAACUUUUAGAUUUUGUACACUUGUGAUCAAAUCAGGCUAGAGAAAGCAGGAAUUCUGAAGAUCUCAAUUUUGACGAUAUUAAUAUUAAAAAUAAUUUAGAAACAAAGUAAUAUAAUUUAUAAUGAUUAGAUAUUAUAAAAUGUUAUAUAUUUAGUGUAUAACUGAGAAAUAUGUAUAAUAAAUAAAUAUCAAUUCAAAUUUUCCCGUGCGAAAAUGAUACGCAAGUGAUACGAGCAGACUCUUAGGCUCGAUCUACAAUAGAUAGAGUAAGGAGUAGAAGUAGAAGUAACGAUUUCGGCGUGAAGACGCUGGCUCCGUCUACAAUACGAUAGAGUAGAAAGAAUUAAGGGCCAAUCAGAACGCAAGAGGAAUCUGGCAUAUUUGCCGUAAUUUUCCUCCUGCGCUCUAAUUGGUCGAACGUAAGAAAAGCAGGAGUAAGAGUAAGACGAAAUGGAAAUUUAUUUCGCUUACGCCCUUACUCUAACUCCUUACGCCGCUCUUCAGGCUUACUCUACGUAAUGUAGACAGAUCAACUUCUUAUUGUAGAUCGGGCCUUACUAUAUGUAUGUAUAUGUAUGUGUAUAGGAAAGGGGAGAACCCGGAAUAUCAUUUUACGUACUAGGAAAGCCUGAUUUGAUCGCGGAUGUUCAUCAAAACUGUAUUAUUAUACAUAAACCAUUCAGUAUUGAAUAAUAAAUACAUUAUAACUCGAUAGUGAUGAAAGACUAAUUUUGUUAGCGGCUGAUGGCAUAAAAAAAUCUAUUAAGUCAUAAGCUUCCAGUAAGUAAACUGUUAAAUGUUCUAUAAAAUGUUCUCAGUUUAAUUUUUAAUUAUUAAAAAUUAUAAAACCUCAAAAUUAAAUAUUCUGUAUAACUAUAGGUUUUUCCAGGAAAACAAGGUAUUUUUAAAAUGUUGUCCGCUUAGUACAUAUGAAUUUGGAUUAAUAAUUGUUUGUUUAUUACAUUGCUACAAAUAGCUGAAAAAUUGUACUUAGGGUAUUGUAAACACCUUGUAUAUACAUAUAUAAAUGUGUAUGUAUAUGUAUAUCUGACUAUAAUUCGUUCCACGGUGACCUUCAUUAUAUCUAUCUAACCGUGCAUAAACUGUGCCGAAAAUUGAACGAUCUGAUCUCCAGAAUCGAUCAUGUUUUUUCUUAAAAUUUUCGAAAACCACGAAAUUCGAAAUCGUGUCAUAUCUUCGCAUGUUCUCUGGAACACAUUCACCGAGUACGAAUGUCUCUUUCUUUCUUUUUCCCCGUUUUGCUCUGUAAACACUAAAUUCUUGUGAAUUAAUCGUUGACUAAUUGUUAAUUACUAUUGUAAUUGGAGCACUGUGAUAGUGAGUUAAUACGUUCGCUACCAACGUGACACAUCGUCAUGGAUCAAGAUUAUGUUAUGUGGUGAUCAUAACUUUUAUUUCAUAUACUUUAAAAUAAACGAAAAUCAAUGCUUCAACCCUUCUUCGAAUUAUGGAAGCCGUAGCGCUCCCUCAAAUCUUUAAACUAACAAUAAGCGUGGUUUAAUACGCGUGGAUAUAAUUAUUAGAAAAUUUAUUGUCAAAGCGCCAGUACCUUUCCGACGUCACAUGGCCGAUCGUGAGAGUAAUCAAGCGUCUCUGGAUCACGUGACAAGUUGGAAACACGAUCAGGCGGUUAGCUUAAACAUAUCUCAGAAUUCAGCAUCUAUUGAGCAUAACUUUAUAAUCUUAUCAAGUUGUUUAAUAUUGCAUAGCAAAUUCAUUUGUAUUUACUAAUUUGAUAACAUGGUACUUAAAUAAAAUAAUAACCGCAGAAAACCGUUUAUUCGAAUAAGGGUUAAAAUAGAUAAAAAUUAAAGUCUGUUAAAGCACCUACAAAGUAGUAUAAUAAUAUAAACUAAAUACAUGAUCUGAAGUUGUAUUACCUUAUUUUAUAUGAUUUUUAACAAAUGAAUUCAAUAGUUACAUAAGCAAGUACAUAGAUCUAUGCUUGGUUUGUAAUGGAUGAAUUUUUGGCUGACUGAUGGUAGCUAACGUGUUAAUUGCUGUAUUAGUAAAUUAGUCACCACGCCAAAACUAUAACUGAUAAACAAAAUUACAAGUGUAAUAAAUAAUUUUUCUCAACAAAAUUGAUUAUUAUGUUAUAAAAAUAGUUGACGCGAUAUGUUACCUCAUUUUAAUGUGCUAUUUAAAAAAUUAUACUCAAAUUAUGGCACUUAGUGUGUUAAAGAAUUUCCAAUAAAUUUAUUGAACAUGUGUUUAAAUUCUUGUUUAAGAAAUUUAAUGAAAUGUCUACUUAUUCUUCAAUUAUAUCGGCAGCCCUUGAUUCCACUAUCGCAUAUAAAGCAUUAAAUAAGGAAAAUACAUUUUCUUAGCAUGAAUUGAUUUAUAGCAAAGUAAACUAUAAUCGAAAUCGGAAUUGGGAAUGAGAAAGAAAGGGGAAGAAUUUAAAAUCUGAAAACUUCAAUGUAAUUAAAUAAAAUUGCAUAAGAAGUAACAAGACUCUUCGACGAUCCAAAUUGCUGAAAUCGACAUAGUAAUUAACAGAAUGUCUAGGAUACUGUACGUUUAACUAUAAGCUACGCGCCACGAUGUGUAAGUAUAGUAACAAUAUAGAUUUUGUAUACUGCGUGCGUGAGAGUGUAGAGAAACGAGCAUGGCAAAAGACAAUGCGUGCGUUACAGAAUUUACGUUCGACAGGUUAAUAAAUCGUAUUUUC